AACGCGAAGAACCUUACUUACCCUUAACCGGGGAAGCCCUUCGGGGCAGGAAGACAGGUGGUGCAUGGUUGUCGUCAGCUCGUGUCAUGAGAUGUUGGGUUAAGUCCCGCAACGAGCGCAACCCUUAUCAUUAGUUGCUACCAUUAAGUUGAGCACUCUAGUGAGACUGCCACGGUUAACGUGGAGGAAGGUGGGGAUGACGUCAAAUCAUCAUGCCCCUUAUGUCUAGGGCUACACACGUGCUACAAUGGUGAAUACAAAGAGAUGCAAUACCGCGAGGUGGAGCCAAACUCAAAAAUUCAUCCCAGUUCGGAUUGUAGGCUGAAACUCGCCUACAUGAAGCCGGAGUUGCUAGUAAUCGCGAAUCAGCAUGUCGCGGUGAAUACGUUCCCGGGUCUUGUACACACCG
rnacentral:rRNA from 1 species